rnacentral:rRNA from 1 species
AGUGAACGCUGGCGGUAGGCCUAACACAUGCAAGUCGAACGGCAGCACAGUAAGAGCUUGCUCUUACGGGUGGCGAGUGGCGGACGGGUGAGGAAUACAUCGGAAUCUACUUUUUCGUGGGGGAUAACGUAGGGAAACUUACGCUAAUACCGCAUACGACCUACGGGUGAAAGCAGGGGAUCUUCGGACCUUGCGCGAUUGAAUGAGCCGAUGUCGGAUUAGCUAGUUGGCGGGGUAAAGGCCCACCAAGGCGACGAUCCGUAGCUGGUCUGAGAGGAUGAUCAGCCACACUGGAACUGAGACACGGUCCAGACUCCUACGGGAGGCAGCAGUGGGGAAUAUUGGACAAUGGGCGCAAGCCUGAUCCAGCUAUACCGCGUGGGUGAGGAAGGCCUUCGGGUUGUAAAGCCCUUUUGUUGGGAAAGAAAAGCAGCAGGUUAAUACCCCGCUGUUCUGACGGUACCCAAAGAAUAAGCACCGGCUAACUUCGUG